rnacentral:rRNA from 1 species
GACGUAGGGCGCGAGCGUUGUCCGGAUUUAUUGGGCGUAAAGAGCUCGUAGGCGGCUCGUUGCGUCAACCGUGAAAACCCGGGGCUUAACUUCGGGCUUGCGGUUGAUACGGGCGGGCUGGAGUUCGGUAGGGGAGACUGGAAUUCCUGGUGUAGCGGUGAAAUGCGCAGAUAUCGGGAGGAACACCAGUGGCGAAGGCGACUUCCUGGCCUGUUCUUGACGCUGAGGCGCGAAAGCUAGGGGAGCAAACGGG